AACGAACGCUGGCGGCAGGCUUAACACAUGCAAGUCGAACGCGCCCUUCGGGGCGAGUGGCAGACGGGUGAGUAACGCGUGGGAACCUACCUUUUGGUACGGAAUAACUCAGGGAAACUUGAGCUAAUACCGUAUGUGCCCUUCGGGGGAAAGAUUUAUCGCCAAAGGAUGGGCCCGCGUCGGAUUAGCUAGUUGGUGGGGUAAUGGCCUACCAAGGCGACGAUCCGUAGCUGGUCUGAGAGGAUGAUCAGCCACACUGGGACUGAGACACGGCCCAGACUCCUACGGGAGGCAGCAGUGGGGAAUAUUGGACAAUGGGGGCAACCCUGAUCCAGCCAUGCCGCGUGAGUGAUGAAGGCCUUAGGGUUGUAAAGCUCUUUCGCCGGUGAAGAUAAUGACGGUAACCGGAGAAGAAGCCCCGGCUAACUUCGUGCCAGCAGCCGCCGUAAUAC
rnacentral:rRNA from 1 species